rnacentral:rRNA from 1 species
UACUACCGAAGCUACGGCAUCAGUAAUGAUGGGUAGGGGAGCUUCCCAUACGGGUUGAAGCAUGACCGUAAGGACAUGUGGACAGUAUGGGAGUGAGAAUGUUGGCAUGAGUAGCGAGAUGUGGGUGAGAAUCCCACAGGCCGUAAACCCAAGGUUGCCAGGGGAAGGUUCGUCCGCCCUGGGUUAGUCGGGACCUAAGCUGAGGCCGAAAGGCGUAGGUGAUGGACAACAGGUUGAUAUUCCUGUACUACCGAUAACCGUUUGAGAGAAGGGAUGACACAGUA